UACGGAGGGUCCAAGCGUUAUCCGGAUUUAUUGGGUUUAAAGGGUGCGUAGGCGGUUUUGUAAGUUAGAGGUGAAAUUCCGUGGCUCAACCACGGCCCUGCCUCUAAAACUGCAGGACUAGAGAAUGGUUGCUGUGGGCGGAAUGUGUAGUGUAGCGGUGAAAUGCUUAGAGAUUACACAGAACACCGAUUGCGAAGGCAGCUCACAAAGCCAUAUCUGACGCUGAGGCACGAAAGCGUGGGGAGCAAACAGGAUUAGAUACCCCCGUAGCCCCU
rnacentral:rRNA from 1 species